GGGUCUCACAGAAUGAGGCUUUGAAGCCUGUCCUCCUAACUCUUGGCCUGCUGCUCUUUCUUUGUAACUGUCAGUGAGGUAGUUAUUAUAAUUAAGCUAUAAUUGCCAUGCCUACCUUUAAGCUCCAUUCAUCAGAACCCUAAGCCUUUAGGACUAUCAGCACAGACACUCAAAAAAUGUCUGUCAUCACUGUUGCUUUGGUCAAUGUGCAGUGAGGCCACCUGGGUGUCUAACUGGUAUUGUAUUGUCCUUGUCUCCCUCACCUCUUCACCCCCCCAUCAUCAUGGGGCAUCUGACUGCAGCAAUACUUCAUCCUGCUGAUCCUGACAGAUGGUGUUAUCACAGACAUGGCCGACACCCGGGAGGCCAUUGUCCAUGCCUCCCACCUCCCCAUGUCAGUCAUCAUCGUGGGAGUAGGGAACGCUGACUUCAGUGACAUGCAGAUGCUGGACGGUGAUGAUGGGAUUCUGAGGUCACCCAAGGGAGAGCCUGUUCUUCGAGACAUCGUCCAGUUCGUGCCCUUCAGGAACUUCAAACACGCAUCUCCAGCUGCCCUGGCAAAGAGCGUGCUGGCUGAAGUCCCAAACCAAGUUGUGGACUAUUACAAUGGCAAAGGAAUUAAACCAAAAUGUUCAUCAGAAAUGUAUGAAUCUUCCAGAACACUAGCACCAUGAACUCCCCACACAGUUUUACAGAGUUCUGAAAUACUAUUCCUGCUAAUAUUUCAUAUUUAAUACUUCUACUACUCCUGUACUUUAAAAAAAAACAACAUAUACACAUUUAAAAAUAGCACGUUUUGGUGAUUUUUAACUAUCUGACAAUUUUUUUUGCAUGUGUAGCCCUGAGGCCUGGAUCUGUUAAACCCUUGUAUUGUUAACUUUUUACAAAGAAAUACAGAUAAUAAUAACUUACUAUUUACAUUACAGCAUGUCGCCUUGAAAUAAAAUGGUAUCUGUAUCCGUUUUUAUACAGGUUUGUUGAAAUUUUGCUAAAUUUCUUAUCUUUACACUCUAAAGCAUUUUGAAACAUUUACUGAACGUUGAUAGACAAAAUAUACUUGGUUUUAUCUGCUAUAGGAUGAAAGACUUUUUAAAAUGGCAGAUGCAUGGACUGUAUUUUGCAUGUUUAAAAUAAAAAAAGAAAAACCCACAUGGUUUUUGCAGUUGUUAUCUCUAAUUCCUCCCUGCUGAGAAUGGUCUCUCUACUAAAGAAGAGGUUUAUUUACUUCUUUCUGAGGUGAGUCUUUUUGAGGUAAGUCUGGGUCAUCUAGCCCAGCACCUCUCAUACUUCAUACUGUGUACACAAAUCACCUGAGAGUCUUAUUAAAAUUCAGAUUGUGAUACAUAGGUCUGUGUGGGACCCAAGAUUCUGCAUCUUUAACUAGGUCCCAGGUGAUGCUAAUGCAGUCCCUGGACUAUACCAAGAGGAGUGAGGAUCUAGACUUUAGGGUGUCAUGAUGGAGACCAUCAAAAAUAGCAUGGCUUCUAGUCUGCUUGAGAAUGGCACCUCUUCCUGACAGUAGCACAAAAGUCCUGCCUGUCUCCAGAGGUGACAGUAGAAAGUAAUGAGACUGAUUCCAGAAGCUGCACACCUCAAAUCAGUCUCGCUGCUUUAUACUCACACCUCUUCCUUAGAUAAGACUCGAAAGUGCUCCUCCUGGCCAGUCCCUGCCCUCUUAAAAGUGGCAUCACACACCACUGCAUGGAUGGUGUCAAUCCCUAGAAGUGACCUCAGAGCAUCUUCACUGGAACCACAACAAUAGAAACUUAAACAUGGCAAAUGGCUAUGCAGUACAGCUCCCGAUAUCUGGUCCACUAAGUUGACCUUUGAGCUUAGUGUGGGAAUUUCUUGCCUCCUUUCUAUCACUUCUGAGAACAAAUUCUAUAAGCAGAAAUGCCUGGAAUUAUUGUCUGGGGUCGAGGUGUUUUGUUUCAAUAUAAGCUGGCCAGUCUGGAACCAAAAGGACGAAUGUUUAACUUGUAUAAUCUUCUUGCAGGGAAACAGGCAAGUGUUUUUGCAAGCAUAAAAGGCACAAAGUGGAGUUUAUUUUUGGUCAGAGAGAUGAAGAAGUAAAUCACAAGGCAAAAUUUGUUGUUUGUUUGAAGAGGGGAGCAGUAUUAACAAGCAAAUAAAAUGCCUUGUAUGAUUUCCAGAGUUAUAAUUAUAGAUCCUAAUCUUGCAAAUACAUGUCACCAAAUGCACAACAUUUUGGGAAUGAUGGUAAAAUUGUAUGACUGAAAAAAUCAUAAAUAUUUAAGCUAUAUUGUUUUAUUAAUAAAUUGGGUACUUACAGAAUUCUUCUAAGAGUU
rnacentral:sRNA from 1 species